rnacentral:rRNA from 1 species
GUGGGGAAUAUUGGACAAUGGGCGAAAGCCUGAUCCAGCCAUGCCGCGUGUGUGAAGAAGGUCUUCGGAUUGUAAAGCACUUUAAGUUGGGAGGAAGGGUAGUAACCUAAUACGUUGCUACUUUGACGUUACCGACAGAAUAAGCACCGGCUAACUUCGUGCCAGCAGCCGCGGUAAUACGAAGAGUGCAAGCGUUAAUCGGAAUUACUGGGCGUAAAGCGCGCGUAGGUGGUUCAGUAAGUUGGAAGUGAAAUCCCCGGGCUCAACCUGGGAACUGCUAUCAAAACUGCGGAGCUAGAGUACGGUAGAGGGUGGUGGAAGUUCCUGUGUAGCGGUGAAAUGCGUAGAUAUAGGAAGGAACACCAGGGGCGAAGGCGACCACCUGGACUGAUACUGACACUGAGGUGCGAAAGCGUGGGGAGCAAACAGGAUUAGAUACCCGUGUAGUCA